rnacentral:rRNA from 1 species
GAUGAACGCUGGCGGCGUGCCUAAUACAUGCAAGUCGAGCGAACGGACGAGAAGCUUGCUUCUCUGAUGUUAGCGGCGGACGGGUGAGUAACACGUGGAUAACCUACCUAUAAGACUGGGAUAACUUCGGGAAACCGGAGCUAAUACCGGAUGAUAUUUUGAACCGCAUGGUUCAAAAGUGAAAGACGGUCUUGCUGUCACUUAUUGAUGGAUCCGCGCUGCAUUAGCUAGUUGGUAAGGUAACGGCUUACCAAGGCAACGAUGCAUAGCCGACCUGAGAGGGUGAUCGGCCACACUGGAACUGAGACACGGUCCAGACUCCUACGGGAGGCAGCAGUAGGGAAUCUUCCGCAAUGGGCGAAAGCCUGACGGAGCAACGCCGCGUGAGUGAUGAAGGUCUUCGGAUCGUAAAACUCUGUUAUUAGGGAAGAACAUAUGUGUAAGUAACUGUGCACAUCUUGACGGUACCUAAUCAGAAAGCCACGGCUAACUACGUG